AACGAACGCUGGCGGCAUGCCUAACACAUGCAAGUCGAACGAGACCUUCGGGUCUAGUGGCGCACGGGUGCGUAACGCGUGGGAACCUGCCCUUAGGUUCGGAAUAACUCCCCGAAAGGGGUGCUAAUACCGGAUAAUGUCUUCGGACCAAAGAUUUAUCGCCUUUGGAUGGGCCCGCGUUGGAUUAGCUAGUUGGUAGGGUAAAAGCCUACCAAGGCGACGAUCCAUAGCUGGUCUGAGAGGAUGAUCAGCCACACUGGGACUGAGACACGGCCCAGACUCCUACGGGAGGCAGGAGUGGGGAAUAUUGGACAAUGGGCGAAAGCCUGAUCCAGCCAUGCCGCGGGAGUGAUGAAGGCCUUAGGGUUGUAAAGCCCUUUUACCCGGGAUGAUAAUGACAGUACCGGGAGAAUAAGCUCCGGCUAACUCCGUG
rnacentral:rRNA from 1 species